UACGUAGGGUGCAAGCGUUGUCCGGAAUUAUUGGGCGUAAAGAGCUCGUAGGCGGUUUGUCGCGUCUGCUGUGAAAUCUGGGGGCUCAACCCCCCAGCCUGCAGUGGGUACGGGCAGACUAGAGUGCGGUAGGGGAGAUUGGAAUUCCUGGUGUAGCGGUGGAAUGCGCAGAUAUCAGGAGGAACACCGAUGGCGAAGGCAGGUCUCUGGGCCACUACUGACGCUGAGAAGCGAAAGCAUGGGGAGCGAACAGG
rnacentral:rRNA from 1 species